rnacentral:lncRNA from 1 species
UGCAGUCAGAGAACGAAAAUGCCUCUGUGGCUACACCCUGUUCACUUAACAAAAUGAUUGGACCACCUGCUAUCUGAGUGGCAUUUUAUGGAGAGAAAAAUAAAUUAUUACUCAGACACAGUCUUUUUGUCCAAGGAACACGUGUUCUCCUGAAGAGGCAGAUAUUUAUCCACUGUCUCCAGGACAAGUAGCCACAUGAGAAGAGCUUGCUGGAGACAGAAACAGAUUCUCUGGGAUGUCAGAGGGCUGCACCCACUCAGCUCAGGGCUGUGUCCCACAAAGAAAGCAAAGGAAGUCUGGCAUCCUUGGGGACUUUCUGAUUCAUCCAUUCAUUGUUUCACGUAGGCCCAAUUGUGCCAGUCCCAGGACGUGAAGUGACAGAUGCAGGGGGAGUGCUGAGCAGUGGGGACGAUGACACAGAGCCCGACGGUGGCUGCCAGUGUAAACGGAGCUCUGCCCGGGCUGGCUGGCGAGGCUUCCAGAGGAGGCUGGAUGUGGUGUCCUGGGAAGAGUGCAAGUCAUCACUUGGACAUCACCAGUCUGCACCCUCUUCCCACUGGGUCCACCCAGGUGCCCCCCCGCCCCCACCACCCCUCCAUGGCUCCUAGCCCACCUCCUCUUCCCAUCUCUGCUCCUGUUGUCUCAGUGGAUGGAGGCCAUCUGUUUUUCUCACUGGAUGGUGGAAUACAUCCUUUACCAGAUAUUGGUGAAGGUACCAACUCAUUGGAAAAGGCCCUCAGGCUGGGAGAGAUUGAAGGCAGGAGGAGAAGGAGAUGACAGAGAAUGAGAUGGUUGGAUGGCAUCACCAACUUGAUGGACACGAAUUUGAGCAAACUCCGAGAGAUAGUGAAGGACAGAAGCUUGGCGUACUGCAGUCCAUGGGGUCGCAAAGAAUUGGACAUGACUGAGCGACUGAACAGCAACAACAAGCAGAAUAGGUGUCCUUAAUAUAGGCCACCUUUGCAUGUCAAGUAUUUUGAGCUGAGACAAUUGGGGAGAAGCAGACAUGGGAAAAGCCCCCUGUCUACCCCCAUUUACCUGGGGAGACUUCCUUCUCUGGGCUUCUGUGAAAAUGCAAUCAGAUGAUUUAUUAUGUUCCUGGCACACAAUGUUCCUGGCACACAAUGGGAAUGCAGUUAUUAUGGGUAGGACCUGCACUUCCUUUCACUCUGCAAAUGAUUGAGCCUUGGAAAUGUCAUGGAGGGAACCGAAGGACUCCCACAGCCACCUUGCCAGGAGCCAGCGUGAGGAACUCUGCCUGUGGCAAAGGUCAUGAGGAAGGAGGCUCGGCAUACGCAAAGGCGGGAUCGAGCCUCAGGAGUCCCCCUGGAAAUUCUCGAGCAUCUACCCCCAAAACCAGAGUCUGCCUACUUUACUGCUUUGUGGUCUCACCUACACCUCUGACUUUACGGGGUCUGUCCCCCACCACCUCUGUCUGAAAAAGAGUUAAAUUACAGCUCCACUUAAUAAAGUUCCUGGGCGUGACA